UUGCGACUUCGGUCGCAAGGGAGUGGCGCACGGGUGAGUAGCGCGUGGGAACCUGCCCUGUUGUGGGGGAUAACCGAGGGAAACUUCGGCUAAUACCGCAUGCGCCCGGAGUGAUCCGGGGAAAGAUUUAUCGCAGCAGGAGGGGCCCGCGUCAGAUUAGCUGGUUGGUGGGGUAACGGCCCACCAAGGCUUUGAUCCGUAGCUGGUCUGAGAGGAUGAUCAGCCACACUGGGACUGAGACACGGCCCAGACUCCUACGGGAGGCAGCAGUGGGGAAUAUUGGACAAUGGGCGCAAGCCUGAUCCAGCAAUGCCGCGUGAGUGAUGAAGGCCUUAGGG
rnacentral:rRNA from 1 species